UUCCGGUUGAUCCCGCCGGACCUGACUGCUAUCGGAUUGAUACUAAGCCAUGCGAGUCUUUGUAGCAAUACAAGGCAGACGGCUCAGUAACGCGUAGUCAAUCUAACCUAUGGGCAGGGAUAACCUCGGGAAACUGAGAAUAAUACCUGAUAGAUCAUUAUGCCUGGAAUGGUUUAUGGUCCAAAUGAUUCGUCGCCAUAGGAUGGGACUGCGGCCUAUCAGCUUGUUGGUGAGGUAAUGGCCCACCAAGGCUAUUACAGGUACGGGCUCUGAGAGGAGAAGCCCGGAGAUGGGUACUGAGACACGGACCCAGGCCCUAUGGGGCGCAGCAGGCGAGAAAACUUUGCAAUGUGCGAAAGCACGACAAGGUUAAUCCGAGUGAUUCCUGCUAAAGGAAUCUUUUGUUAGUCAUAACACCACUGAUGAAUAAGGGGUGGGCAAGUUCUGGUGUCAGCCGCCGCGGUAAAACCAGCACCUCAAGUGGUCAGGAGGAUUAUUGGGCCUAAAGCAUCCGUAGCCUGCUUUGUAAGUUUUCGGUUAAAUCCAUACGCUUAACGUAUGGGCCGCCGAGAAAACUGCACAGCUAGGGAGUGGGAGAGGUAGACGGUACUCGGUAGGAAGGGGUAAAAUCCUUUGAUCUAUUGAUGACCACCUGUGGCGAAGGCGGUCUACCAGAACACGUCCGACGGUGAGGGAUGAAAGCUGGGGGAGCAAACCGGAUUAGAUACCCGGGUAGUCCCAGCUGUAAACAAUGCAAACUCAGUGAUGCGUUGGCUUGUGGCCAGCGCAGUGCCGCAGGGAAGCCGUUAAGUUUGCCGCCUGGGAAGUACGUACGCAAGUAUGAAACUUAAAGGAAUUGGCGGGGGAGCACCACAAGGGGUGAAGCCUGCGGUUCAAUUGGAUUCAACGCCGG
rnacentral:rRNA from 1 species